UGCCAUUAUUAAUUUGGGUCUCUGUUUGC
rnacentral:piRNA from 1 species